rnacentral:piRNA from 1 species
GAGGACUGUAGUGGAUAAGCUGUAGCGAU